GAGAUCAUAGCUCAGCAGCAGAGCACAUGACUUACAUUCAUAAAGUCUCAGGUUCAACCCCUGGAGUCCCA
rnacentral:tRNA from 1 species